rnacentral:rRNA from 1 species
CCCGGUGACCAUAGCUGGCUGGAUACACCCGUUCCCUUCUCGAACACGGAAGUUAAGCAGCUAGCGCCGAUGAUAUUGGGUCACUCCGAGAAAGUAGGUUGUUGCCGGGC